rnacentral:rRNA from 1 species
UUAAGCGACUAAGCGUACACGGUGGAUGCCUAGGCAGUCAGAGGCGAUGAAGGGCGUGCUAAUCUGCGAAAAGCGUCGGUAAGGUGAUAUGAACCGUUACAACCGACGAUACCCGAAUGGGGAAACCCAGUGCAAUUCGUUGCACUAUUGCAUGGUGAAUACAUAGCCAUGCAAGGCGAACCGGGGGAACUGAAACAUCUAAGUACCCCGAGGAAAAGAAAUCAACCGAGAUUCCCCCAGUAGCGGCGAGCGAACGGGGAGGAGCCCAGAACCUGAAUCAGCGUAUGUGUUAGUGGAAGCGUCUGGAAAGUCGCACGGUACAGGGUGAUAGUCCCGUACACAAAAAUGCAUAUGUUGUGAGUUCGAUGAGUAGGGCGGGACACGUGACAUCCUGUCUGAAUAUGGGGGGACCAUCCUCCAAGGCUAAAUACUCCUGACUGACCGAUAGUGAACCAGUACCGUGAGGGAAAGGCGAAAAGAACCCCGGCGAGGGGAGUGAAAUAGAACCUGAAACCGUGUACGUACAAGCAGUGGGAGCACCUUCGUGGUGUGACUGCGUACCUUUUGUAUAAUGGGUCAGCGACUUAUAUUUUGUAGCAAGGUUAACCGAAUAGGGGAGCCGUAGGGAAACCGAGUCUUAACUGGGCGAAUAGUUGCAAGGUAUAGACCCGAAACCCGGUGAUCUAGCCAUGGGCAGGUUGAAGGUUGGGUAACACUAACUGGAGGACCGAACCGACUAAUGUUGAAAAAUUAGCGGAUGACUUGUGGCUGGGGGUGAAAGGCCAAUCAAACCGGGAGAUAGCUGGUUCUCCCCGAAAGCUAUUUAGGUAGCGCCUCGUGAACUCAUCUUCGGGGGUAGAGCACUGUUUCGGCUAGGGGGUCAUCCCGACUUACCAAACCGAUGCAAACUCCGAAUACCGAAGAAUGUUAUCACGGGAGACACACGGCGGGUGCUAACGUCCGUCGUGAAGAGGGAAACAACCCAGACCGCCAGCUAAGGUCCCAAAGUCAUGGUUAAGUGGGAAACGAUGUGGGAAGGCAUAGACAGCCAGGAUGUUGGCUUAGAAGCAGCCAUCAUUUAAAGAAAGCGUAAUAGCUCACUGGUCGAGUCGGCCUGCGCGGAAGAUGUAACGGGGCUAAACCAUGCACCGAAGCUGCGGCAGCGACGCUUAGGCGUUGUUGGGUAGGGGAGCGUUCUGUAAGCCGUUGAAGGUGACCUGUGAGGGUUGCUGGAGGUAUCAGAAGUGCGAAUGCUGACAUAAGUAACGAUAAUGCGGGUGAAAAACCCGCACGCCGGAAGACCAAGGGUUCCUGUCCAACGUUAAUCGGGGCAGGGUGAGUCGACCCCUAAGGCGAGGCUGAAAAGCGUAGUCGAUGGGAAACAGGUUAAUAUUCCUGUACUUGGUGUUACUGCGAAGGGGGGACGGAGAAGGCUAGGCUAGCCGGGCGACGGUUGUCCCGGUUUAAGCAUGUAGGCGGAGUGACUUGGUAAAUCCGGUUGCUUAUCAACGCUGAGGUGUGAUGACGAGUCACUACGGUGAUGAAGUAGUUGAUGCCAAGCUUCCAGGAAAAGCCUCUAAGCAUCAGGUAACAUUAAAUCGUACCCCAAACCGACACAGGUGGUCAGGUAGAGAAUACUCAGGCGCUUGAGAGAACUCGGGUGAAGGAACUAGGCAAAAUGGUGCCGUAACUUCGGGAGAAGGCACGCUGGCAUUAGGUAAAGGGACUUGCUCCCGGCGCCGAAGCCAGUCGCAGAUACCAGCUGGCUGCAACUGUUUAAUAAAAACACAGCACUGUGCAAACACGAAAGUGGACGUAUACGGUGUGACGCCUGCCCGGUGCUGGAAGGUUAAUUGAUGGGGUCAGCCGCAAGGCGAAGCUCUUGAUCGAAGCCCCAGUAAACGGCGGCCGUAACUAUAACGGUCCUAAGGUAGCGAAAUUCCUUGUCGGGUAAGUUCCGACCUGCACGAAUGGCGUAAUGAUGGCCAGGCUGUCUCCACCCGAGACUCAGUGAAAUUGAACUCGCUGUGAAGAUGCAGUGUACCCGCGGCAAGACGGAAAGACCCCGUGAACCUUUACUAUAGCUUGACACUGAACAUUGAGCCUUGAUGUGUAGGAUAGGUGGGAGGCAUUGAAGUGUGGACGCCAGUCUGCAUGGAGCCAACCUUGAAAUACCACCCUUUAAUGUUUGAUGUUCUAACUCGGCCCCGUGAUCCGGGGUGAGGACAGUGUCUGGUGGGUAGUUUGACUGGGGCGGUCUCCUCCCAAAGAGUAACGGAGGAGCACGAAGGUUAGCUAAUCACGGUCGGACAUCGUGAGGUUAGUGCAAAGGCAUAAGCUAGCUUGACUGCGAGAGUGACGGCUCGAGCAGGUACGAAAGUAGGUCUUAGUGAUCCGGUGGUUCUGAAUGGAAGGGCCAUCGCUCAACGGAUAAAAGGUACUCCGGGGAUAACAGGCUGAUACCGCCCAAGAGUUCAUAUCGACGGCGGUGUUUGGCACCUCGAUGUCGGCUCAUCACAUCCUGGGGCUGAAGUAGGUCCCAAGGGUAUGGCUGUUCGCCAUUUAAAGUGGUACGCGAGCUGGGUUUAGAACGUCGUGAGACAGUUCGGUCCCUAUCUGCCGUGGGCGUUGGAAGAUUGAGAGGGGCUGCUCCUAGUACGAGAGGACCGGAGUGGACGAAUCACUGGUGUUCGGGUUGUCAUGCCAAUGGCAUUGCCCGGUAGCUAAAUUCGGAAGAGAUAACCGCUGAAAGCAUCUAAGCGGGAAACUUGCCUCGAGAUGAGUCUUCCCUGGGGCUUUAAGUCCCCUGAAGGAACGUUAAAGACUAUGACGUUGAUAGGCUGGGUGUGUAAGUGCAGCGAUGCAUUGAGCUAACCAGUACUAAUGAUCCGUGAGGCUUAACCUU